UUUAGCAACUCAGCAACGUACAGACAUAAAUUAGUUAAUUGUUGUAUUUUAAACAAAUGGUCCAAAGCUUUACAUUUAUCUCCACUGUAAACAGUUUUUCAAAUAGGAAUAAGAAAGAGGCUUGUACAAGUUAUUGCGUCGACUAAUUAUUUUCAAGAUCGUCACAAAUGACUCGUACUCAAAAGAAAAUUCCGCACCUAAGUACAACGCUGAGACUAUUAACAGGAUGUUAAAAUACUCAGAACUUUCUCGCACAGAUUCGGUGGUUUUUGUGAAAAUGCCGUAAACUAUCCAUAUUCUACAUGAAAAAGGCCAGAGAAACAACAGGGUCACGUUCGAGUAUCUCCCCCAAGAUCCUGUUGCCUCAAGCCCUCAGCAAACGCUCCUUAUUUUUGCUCUUGCUCGUUUUUAUCCAAUUUCUCCGCUGAGUUCCUUCGUCUUUUAACCCACAAAGUCGCGUUCUGGCUUUCCUUGCAUACCCACAGUAACCGAGCGAACUUUUUUCCCCCAAACAAGGUGUUCGGCUCCCAGUGACUGAAGUCACAUUGGGACACACACAACGCUGCCAUCAUUAGAGGCAGGUUAUUUUUAAACCUAGCCUACGGUCGCGGGCUCCUUUCCAUCAAAACAUUCAGCGUUAUUUCAGCUGAAUACUGCCAUUUAAAUCCACCAGCGAACCUACAGGGAGACUUUGGAAGACGUGAUACUUGGAUUCCACAUGUGCUUUGCUGGAUGGACCAGCUUCCUUCCACGCUCCCACAAAGUGGUCCUGGGGUGAGAGGUUCCAAGGAGCAUCUCUUCAAGGAGGCUUUUUUUUUACACUCUGUCCACCUGCUAAUCUGUUUCCAUGACUGAGCUCAGACUAGAGUGUCUACCUUGGAUCUUUGGUGUCAGAUCAUGGCAAGACAAGCAUUUACUGCUCAUCCCCAAGUUCCUCUGAGAAGUGAUGGAAUGCUCAUCUGUGAUCCUGGCCAGCACGAUGCAGUCUGUAAACAAGAAACGGCCCGUCCCGAUGAAUUUCGAAUUAUAGUCAGUGACUUUAACCAGUUGUAUUUGAAGAAAUCCCUGCCCAAUUAUCACCAGCACAUAACCUGUUGCACCAGUGGUCCCAACACAACAGAUCACUGAUACACUACAAUAAAGAAGGCCUUUCCUUCCUGAGACUGGAUUUUGGCAAGUCGAAUCAUUUGGCUGUACUCCUACAACCUGCAGGCAGACAGAGCCUAAAAAGCAAGACUCCAGAGAUCAAGACAUCUAAGAGGUGGUUGCGAGAGGCAGAGGAAUGGUUAGACGGUAUUACUUUGAGUCAGUGGACUGGGCUGUGAUGAAGAAUUCAUCUGAGGGCUUGAAUGUCUAUACCAGGGUCGUUACAGACUUCAUUAAGAGAGCUGUUUUAAAAAUUGUUUAGGGUUUUCCCCAAUCAGAAGCCCUGGAUAAACAAUGAAAUCUGGAACCUACUGACAACCAGAUCAGAGGCACUCAAGUCUGGAGAUCAAGAAUACUACAAGAGGUGCAGGUGUGAUCUUCGGAAAGCCACCUCUUGGGUGAAGAGGAGAUUCCAGACUAGACUGGAAUCAGUGAGGGACGCUUGACAGCUGUGGCAGAGCUUGAAUGCCGUAAUCUCCUACAAAGUGAAAACUUGCACCAUAGAGGACAGCAGAGCUUCGCUCCCAGGUAAGCUCAAUCCCUUCCAUAUGUGCUUUGACAACCAGAAAAGGGAGGAACCAUCACACACCCCCAUGUCUCCCAGUGAUCCUUUGGUUUCAGUGUCUGAAGAUGACAUGCGGGCUGCCUGCAAGAGAAUGAAUCCAAGGAAAGCAUCCAGUCCGGACGGAGUACCUGGCCGAGUACAGAAGACAACACUCAUUUAAGGACUCUGUUAUAUCGUUAUUUCAUGCUCGUUAUUUAUUGCUAUUUAUUUAUAUCCAUGUUUUCACAGUUUGUUUACAGUUUACAGUUACUGUUCUACAGACUUGCUAAGUAUGACCAUCGAAAAAGAUUCUCGGGAUUGUAUGUGGUGACAUGUAUUUACUCUGAUAAUAAAUUCACUUUGAACUUUGAAGAAGGUCCAACAGUGCGACUGGUAAGGAGGCACUGUUAUGCAGCAGUGGGAGCUGACGUAGAUCCACUAAGCUCCAUCACCUCUUUUAGCACUGUAAAAGUUCCAGGUAGAUGAUGAAACGGUGAUAGCUUCUCAAGUCAGAAUAGUGCACAAUUAGAAGAUGCUGUGGCUGUUGGCCUUAUCCUCCACGGUGGUAGAGAUAGAAAGUUGGGAGCUACUGUUGGUGUUGGUGCAUUAUUGUACAUCAUGGCUAAUAUCCUCCCAACCAUUGAGCACACCUACGUGAAAUGCUGUCGAAGGAAAGCAGCAUCCAUCAUCAGAGAUCCUCACCACCCAGGUCAUGUUCCCUUCUUGCUGCUUCCAUCAUGUAGAACGUACAAGAGCCUCAGUUCUUGCACUGCCACGGUCAAGAACAGUUACAUCCCCUCAACCAUCAGGCUCUUGAAAAGACGGGCAAAACUACACCCACUUGUUCAAUCGUCAAAAUGUUCCUACAACCAAGAAUCUCACUUUAAGGACUCCUAUCUCAUUAUCUCAUGCCCUCAUUAUGUAUUGCUAUUUAUUUAUAAUAUAAAUACAUAAUAUAAUAUAACUCUGAACUUGCACAGUUUGUUGUCUUCUGCACUCUGCCUGAUCUUGCAUUGAUCCUGUUAUAAUUACUAUUCUAUAGAUUUGCUGAAUAUGCCGACAGGAAAAUGAAUUCCAGGGCUGUCUAUGGUGACAUAUAUGUAAUUUGAUAAUAAAAUUUACCUUCAACUUUGAACAUACACCUGGAUACAGUGAAAACCUUGUCUUGCAUACUACUCAUACAGAUGAAUCAUCACACAAUGAGAAUCAUUAUACAGUGCAAUGAGUUAGCAACAACAAUGCAGAAUAACUACAUUGAAGAACUACAGUGCAAGCUCUUCACAAGGUAUAUUGAGAGGCCAAGAGUCCAUCUUAUCGUUAGGGAGUAUUAUGAAGCUAUGUGGA